rnacentral:rRNA from 1 species
GUGCCAGCAGCCGCGGUAAUACGUAGGGUGCGAGCGUUGUCCGGAAUUAUUGGGCGUAAAGAGCUCGUAGGCGGUGUGUCGCGUCGGCCGUGAAAACUCGCAGCUUAACUGUGGGCGUGCGGUCGAUACGGGCAUCACUGGAGUUCGGCAGGGGAGACUGGAAUUCCUGGUGUAGCGGUGAAAUGCGCAGAUAUCAGGAGGAACACCGGUGGCGAAGGCGGGUCUCUGGGCCGAUACUGACGCUGAGGAGCGAAAGCGUGGGGAGCGAACAGGAUUAGAUACCCUGGUAGUCC